rnacentral:rRNA from 1 species
UACGUAGGGGGCAAGCGUUGUCCGGAAUCAUUGGGCGUAAAGCGCGUGUAGGCGGCCAGAUAAGUCCGUUCUGAAAGCCCGGGGCUCAACCCCGGGAGGCGGAUGGAUACUGUUUGGCUCGAGUCCGGAAGAGGCGAGUGGAAUUCCCGGUGUAGCGGUGAAAUGCGCAGAUAUCGGGAGGAACACCAAUGGCGAAGGCGACUUCCUGGCCUGUUCUUGACGCUGAGGCGCGAAAGCUAGGGGAGCAAACGGG